GCAGGCUUAACACAUGCAAGUCGAACGGUAACAGGGGAAAGCUUGCUUUCUUGCUGACGAGUGGCGGACGGGUGAGUWAUGCUUGGGAAUCUGGCUUAUGGAGGGGGAUAACGACGGGAAACUGUCGCUAAUACCGCGUAGAGUCGAGAGACGAAAGUGYGGGACCGCAAGGCCGCAUGCCAUGAGAUGAGCCCAAGUGGGAUUAGGUAGUUGGUGGGGUAAAGGCCUACCAAGCCGACGAUCUCUAGCUGGUCUGAGAGGAUGACCAGCCACACCGGGACUGAGACACGGCCCGGACUCCUACGGGAGGCAGCAGUGGGGAAUAUUGCGCAAUGGGGGCAACCCUGACGCAGCCAUGCCGCGUGAAUGAAGAAGGCCUUCGGGUUGUAAAGUUCUUUCGGUGACGAGGAAGGUUGUUGUGUUAAUAGCGCAACAAAUUGACGU
rnacentral:rRNA from 1 species